rnacentral:rRNA from 1 species
GACGAACGCUGGCGGCGUGCUUAACACAUGCAAGUCGAACGGAAAGGCCCCUUUGGGGGUACUCGAGUGGCGAACGGGUGAGUAACACGUGAGUAACCUGCCCUUGACUUCGGGAUAACUUCAGGAAACUGGGGCUAAUACCGGAUAGGAAUCCUUGCUGCAUGGUGGGGGUUGGAAAGCUUCGGCGGUUUUGGAUGGACUCGCGGCUUAUCAGCUUGUUGGUGGGGUAGUGGCUUACCAAGGCUUUGACGGGUAGCCGGCCUGAGAGGGCGACCGGCCACAUUGGGACUGAGAUACGGCCUAGACGCCUACGGGAGGCAGCAGUGGGGAAUAUUGCACAAUGGGCGGAAGCCUGAUGCAGCAACGCCGCGUGCGGGAUGACGGCCUUCGGGUUGUAAACCGCUUUCAGCAGGGGCGAAGCUUGUGGUGACGGUACCUGCAGAAGAAGCACCGGCUAACUACGUG